rnacentral:rRNA from 1 species
ACCUGGUUGAUCCUGCCAGUGGUCAUAUGCUCGUCUCAAAGAUUAAGCCAUGCAUGUCUAAGUUCAUAUCGAUUUUAAUGAUGAAACUGCGAAGGGCUCAGUAAAUCAGUUAUCGUCCGUUCGAUCAUAUAAACCACGGAUAACUGUGGCAAAUCUAGAGCUAAUACUUGCAAAAUCUGGCGGUGGCAACACUGUUGGAGCAUUUAUUGGACUGAACCAACAGGAGUUAAUUCUCUUGCAGGUGAAUCUAGAUAACUUUGCAUAUCGCACGGCUUGACCGGUGAUAGUUCGAUCGAAUUUCUGCCCUAUCAACUAGUUGGUAAGGUAGUGGCCCACCAAGGUUGUGACGGGUAACGGGGAAUCAGGGUUCGAUUCCGGAGAGGGAGCCUGAUAAACGGCUACCACAUCUAAGGAAGGCAGCAGGCGCGCAAAUUACCCAAUCCAGACAUUGGGAGGUAGUGACGAGAAAUACCAAAGUGUGCCCUAAAAGGUUUCACUAUUGGAAUGAACGUAAUAUAGUACCUUCGAUGAGUACCUACUGGAGGGCAAGUCUGGUGCCAGCAGCCGCGGUAAUUCCAGCUCCAGUAGUGUAUCUCAAAAUUGUUGCGGUUAAAACGCUCGUAGUUGGAUUACAAAGGUCUGGCGUCAAUUGAGCAUUAGUUUGAUUGGCGUUGGGCUUUUUUAUCGCAGGAACCAUUUUGUUUACUUAACUGUGAACGUUUGGCCACUUGCGGAGCGUGCCUUGAAUAAAGCACAGUGCUCAAAGCAGGCGUAACGCUUGAAUGUUAUAGCAUGGAACGAAUACCCUGACUCGGUUCAGUUAGUUGGUUCUCUGAACUGGGUCGUGAUUAAAAGGGACAUUUGAGGGCGUUAGUACUUGGUGGCGAGAGGUGAAAUUCUUAGACCCACCAAAGACUCACUAAUGCGAAAGCAUUCGCCAAGAAUGUUUUCAUUGAUCAAGAACGAAAGUUAGAGGUUCGAAGACGAUCAGAUACCGUCCUAGUUCUAUACAGUAAACUAUGCCACCAUGGGAUCAGUCCGGAAAACGAUCCAGGUUGGUUCCCCAAGGAAACUUGAAGUGUUCGGGUUCCGGGGGGAGUACAGUCGCAAGUCCGGAACUUGAGGGAAUUGACGGAAGGGCACCACCAGGAGUGGAGCCUGCGGCUUAAUUUGACUCAACACGGGGCAACUCACCAGGUCCAGACAUUGAAAGGAUUGACAGACUGAUAGAUCUUUCAAGAUCCAAUGAUUGGUGGUGCAUGGCCGUUCUUAGUUGGUGGAGUGAUCUGUCAGGUCUAUUCCGGUAACGAGCGAGACCACGAUCUCUAUUUGAUUGCAGCUGCUUUGUUGUAGUUGGUCAUAGAGAGACUACCGGAAUACAGGCCGGGGGAAGCGUGGCAAUAACAGGUCUGUGAUGCCCUUCGAUGUUCUGGGCCGCACGCGCGCUACAAUGGCAGUGACAACAAGUUUCUGCUUUGAGAAGAGUGGAUAAUCUUGACAAUCGCUGUCGUGAUUGGGAUUGAGCCUUGUAAUAAUUGCUCAUGAAAGAGGAAUUCCUCGUAAGCGCGAGUCACCAACUCGAGUUGAAUACGUCUCUGCCCUUUGUACACACCGCCCGUCGCUACUACCGAUUGAAUGGCUUUUCGAGAAGUCGGGAUUGGUGAUCGCAAGGUCACCGAGAGCUGCUUCAAGGAAAGGUAUUUAGAGGAAGUAAAAGUCGUAACAAGGUUUCCGUAGGUGAACCAGCGGAAG